GACGAACGCUGGCGGCGUGCUUAACACAUGCAAGUCGUACGGUAAGGCCCUUUCGGGGGUACACGAGUGGCGAACGGGUGAGUAACACGUGAGUAACCUGCCCACAACUUUGGGAUAACGCUAGGAAACUGGUGCUAAUACUGGAUAUGUGCUCCUGCUGCAUGGUGGGGGUUGGAAAGCUCCGGCGGUUGUGGAUGGACUCGCGGCCUAUCAGCUUGUUGGUGGGGUAGUGGCCUACCAAGGCGGCGACGGGUAGCCGGCCUGAGAGGGUGACCGGCCACAUUGGGACUGAGAUACGGCCCAGACGCCGACGGGAGGCAGCAGUGGGGAAUAUUGCACAAUGGGCGCAAGCCUGAUGCAGCAACGCCGCGGGCGGGAUGACGGCCUUCGGGUUGUAAACCGCUUUCAGCAGGGACGAAGCUUUUUGUGACGGUACCUGCAGAAGAAGCACCGGCUAACUACGUG
rnacentral:rRNA from 1 species